rnacentral:lncRNA from 1 species
AAAAAUCAAAUGGUUUAUUAUUUGGCCUCUCCGACAAUAAAAUAUGAAUCUUUUGUUACAAGCGCUUAAAGCUUAAAAUUAUGCGACUAAGAUAAAAAUCGUACAAUGUAAAGUAAAAGAGAAGCAGAAACAUUUAAGCCCUCAAAGCCUCCAAGAUGAAAUAUUCAAGUUCGACGGUCUUCAAGUUGAAGUCUUCACAUUUUCCACCCUUCAAGUUGAAAUAUUUAACCCCUCCAAGUUGAAGUCUUCAAGUCCGUCAGUCUUCAAGUCCGUCGGUCUUCAAGUUAAAAUUUUCAAAUUCGUUGGUCUUAAAGUCGAAAAAAUUAAACCUACAAAUCUUCAAGUUGAAUUCUUCAUGCUAAGGUCCUCAAACUCAUCGGUCUUCAAGUGGAAAUAUUUGAUCCUUCAUAUUUUUCAGGUUGAAACAUCAAAGUCUGCCGAAUCUUCAAGGUUGUCAGUCUUCAGGUUGAACUGUCAAAGUCCGCUGAAUCAUCAAGUUUUUCGAUCUUCAGGUUGAAGUCUGAUAAAUCUUUGAAGUUUUCCAAGUAUUCAAGUAAAAAUCAUCAAGUCCAUGAAGUCUUCGAGUUGAAACUAUAUAACUUUCUAAUCUUAAGGUGGACAUAUAAGUCCCUUUGCACCUUAAGUUGGCCUCUCCGAUAGUCAAGUUAUUCUAUGAGUGAUCUCUCCGAUAGUCGAGCCACAUUGAGAGUAAUCUCUCCAAUAGUCAGGCCACAUUGAGAGUAAUCUCUCUGAUAAUCGAGCCACAUUGAGAUUAAUCUCUCCGAUAGUCAAGCCACAUUGAGAAUAAUCUCUCCAAUAGUCAAACCGCCUUGAGAGAAAUCUCUCCGAUAGUCGGAUCAUUUUGAGAGUAAUCUCUCUGAUAGUCGGAUCAUUCUGAGAGUAAUCUCUCCGAUAGUCGGACCACAUUGAGAGUAAUCUCUCCGAUAGUCGGUUCAUUUUGAGAGUAAUAUCUCAGAUAGUAGAGCCACGUUGAGAGUAAUCUCUCCGAUAGUCGGGUCAUUGAGAGUAAUCUCUCCGAUAUUCGGGCAAGGAUGAGUACUCAUCUCCUCACACACCAAAAUUGACUUCUUCGUGCGUGGAUCAUCUUGUUGAAUAAAAAUGUAUCUUUCUCGCUUGACCAACAAAAAAGAAAAUACAAGAAACAAAAAAGAAAAUACAAGAAACAAAAGAAGAAAUUACCGUCGCAUUAAUGCCUCCAAGCCGUCAAAAGUAAACUUAAAGCAAUUUACAAA